ensembl:lncRNA
AGUGGUUGUUUGUAGACUUUCUCAAGCCAUUGCAAUGCAAUGUGGCGUCAUCAGCCACUAGUGUACAUGCAGAAUUGCCUUGUUAACAGUUACACGGGUGCCAAUUUCCUCAGCAGUUGUUCCACUCCAGCCUGUGAUUCUGGUCUUGGCAGUCUUGCGCAUGGAGACCAUCGAGUGUCUCAGACAACAGCAGGACGAGAAACACCCUUUGGCUAGGCUCACUGUCUGCACUCAAGUAGAUCCAUAGUCCUACCAUCUGAAAUGAAUCUCCGAUUUAAGCAUCAGUGGCGGAAGUCAAGUGCUUUAUCUGUCCGAUCUCGAUUCGCUCAUCUACACUCGCACACACUCUCACACAUAUUUUUCAGCCCUUAGAUAUUCAUGUGACGACAGCGUGGGCAGGUUCUCUGCUCCAGCUGCUCCGUACAGCAUUUGUCAGCUUUACUGUCACUGAGAUGUCACAAUGUAGUCAGUUGUGUCAAGAAAGAAGGAAUAGAUCUCGACACGACUGCCUUAGCAUACGCCUGUAAAAUUUCAAGAGAUUUGGUUUGCCUACAUUUCAUUUCCCAGUUGGCCCCUGAGAGACAGUGGUUUCUGUUGCUAAUACAGUAUAGAUUCGGUUAGAAAAGUAAUAUGAAAAGGCAUAAAGUUAUAUACAAAAAGUGUGUACCUGUUUUGGCUAUACUUGUGAGGGCCAAAUGUCCUCACUUAUAUUGUGAAAUUCUUUGACAAACCACUAGUAGGGGUUGGGUUUGGUGAUUAUUAACCUGAUAGAAAAUCAAUGGAAGAAUGUUCAGUGUCCUCACUAACAUAGUGAGACAAACCUGUGUGUGUGUGUGUGUGUGUGUGUGUGUGUGUGUGUGUGUGUGUGUGUGUGUGUGUGUGUGUGUGUGUGUGUGUGUGUGUGUGUGUGUGUGUGAAUCAUUUUGCCUACCUAUAUAGAACCUAGGUAGUAAGGAUUCACAAGAACACAUCUCACCCUUUCAUUCUGAACACCGGAGCCCCUCAGGGAUGUGUCCUCAGCCCACUAUUGUUUACACUACUUACCCAUUACUGUGUUGCACAGCAUCAGGACAAUCAUAUCAUUAAGUUUGCUGACAAUACAACAGUGGUGGGCCUCAUCUCACAUAACAACGAGACAGCAUACAGAGAAGAGGUGAAGGUUCUGGAGUGGUGGUGCAAAAACAAUAUCUGACCCUCAAUGUCAGCAAGAUGAAAGAAAUGAUCAUUGACUUCAGGAAGACAUCUGUGACUCACACUCCACUGCUCAUUAACGGUGCUGCAAUGGAAAUAGUCAGAAGCUUCAAGUUUCUGGUUGUUCAUUUAACAGAUAAUUCUCAUGGAACAAGAACAUCACUUCGUUGGUUAAGAAAGCCCAACAACGACUACACUUCCUGAGAAGACUUAAAAAAACAGGCAUGAGUAACAUUAUCAUGAUCAACUUUAACAGUUGUAGUGUAGUGGAGAGCAUUCUGUCCAAUAACAUCACAGUCUGGUUUGGCAGUUGUUUGGCCGCUGACAGGGGGGCCCUACAAGAGGGUGGUAAAGGCUGCCCAGAACAUCAUUGCAACCAGUCUCUUAUCUAUGGAGGACAUCUACAGGGUGUGGUUCCUUAAGAGAGCAACCAGAAUUAUGAAGGACAGCACUCACCCCGCUGCUGGAGUGUUCUGCCUACUCCCAUCUGGAAGAAGACUCUAGUGAUCAAGAACAAACUACAAGACUGAGAAACAGUUUCUUUCCUCAGGUGAUCAGGUUACUUAACAGCUGUGGUUGACCACUGCCCUCAUCUUUUAUCUCUGUCUCUUGUGGGCCCAGCAAUGGACUCUGGAUGCCAUAUUAACUCUCCUUCUCCCAACAUACGUUGCACUACUCUACUUUAAGGACUACAAUUUAAUUUUUAUUAUUGCACCAAUCUACUUUAAGGACUACUAUUUAAUGUUUAUUAUUGCACACCAUGGCUUACCUUAUUGCAACAAUUGCAGACUCAUUAUUCUAGUUGCUUUGCUGUCAUUAUUGUUGCUAUUGUUCGAUGUUUCCUUAUUUCUUGCAUUAUGAUGUUACUAUUGGAGAUACUGUGUUUCGAUUCUCCCUGUGGGAGAAAUGACAAUAAACACUUGAACUCUAUACUAUUCAUAUUACACAUUUCUAAC